AUCAACGCUGGCGGCGCCGCCUAACACAUGCAAGUCGAACGAGAAAGCCGGGGCAACCUGGUGAGUACAGUGGCGUACGGGUGAGUAACACGUGGGUGAUCUGCCCUUUGGUGGGGAAUAACCCUGGGAAACCGGGGCUAAUACCGCAUAAGUCCGGGAGGAGAAAGUCGCAAGACGCCGAAGGAGGAGCCCGCGGCCGAUUAGCUAGUUGGAGGGGUAAAAGCCCACCAAGGCAAAGAUCGGUAGCCGGCCCUGAGAGGGCACACGGCCACACUGGCACUGAAACACGGGCCAGGACUCCUACGGGAGGCAGCAGUGGGAAUCUUGCACAAUGGGGGAAACCCUGAUGCAGCGACGCCGCGUGAGCGAUGAAGCCCUUGGUGGUGUAAAGCUCUUUCGGCAGGGAAGAUGAUGACGGUACCUGCAGAAGCAGCUGCGGCUAACUACGUGCCAGCAGCCGCGGUAAUACGUAGGCAGCGAGCGUUGUUCGGAGUUACUGGGCGUAAAGGGUGUGUAGGCGGUGGCUUAAGUUUUGGUGUGAAAUCUCCCGGCUCAACUGGGAGGGUGCGCCGAAUACUGAGUUGCUCGAGUGCGGGAGAGGAGAGUGGAAUUCCUGGUGUAGCGGUGAAAUGCGUAGAUAUCAGGAGGAACACCGGUGGUGUAGACGGCUCUCUGGACCGUAACUGACGCUGAGACACGAAAGCGUGGGUAGCAAACAGGAUUAGAUACCCUGGUAGUCCACGCCCUAAACGAUGCACAUUUGGUGUGGGCAGUUCAUUCUGUCCGUGCCGGAGCUAACGCGUUAAAUGUGCCGCCUGGGGAGUACAGAGUCGCAAGGCUUGAAACUCAAAAGGAAUUGACGGGGGCCCGCACAAGCGGUGGAGCAUGUGGUUCAAUUCGACGCAACGCGAAGAACCUUACCUGGGCUCGAACGGCCGGUCAACGGCGGUGGAAAACAUCGCUACCCCGCAAGGGGGUCCGGUCGAGGUGCUGCAUGGCUGUCGUCAGCUCGUGUCGUGAGAUGUUGGGUUAAGUCCCCGCAACGAGCGCAACCCUUGUCCUGUGUUGCCAUGCCGAAAGGCGGAACUCGCAGGAGACCGCCAGCGAUAAGCUGGGAGGAAGGUGGGGAUGACGUCAAGUCCUCAUGGCCUUUAUGUCCAGGGCUUACACACGUGCUACAAUGGCCGGUACAAAGCGUCCCGAACCCGCGAGGGGAAGGCAAUCGCAAAAAACCGGUCUCAGUUCGGAUUGCAGGCUGCAACUCGCCUGCAUGAAGCUGGAAUCGCUAGUAUGGCAGAUCAGCACGCUGCCGUGAAUACGUUCCCGGGCCUUGUACACACCGCCCGUCACAUCACGAAAGUGGAUUGUACUAGAAGUCUGCAGGCUGACCCGCAAGGGAGGCAGCGGCCCAAGGUAUGAUCCAUGAUUGGGGUG
rnacentral:rRNA from 1 species